GAGGCCCAACCAAGGCCCAAUGUUGAUCAAUGCUAGAGGGAGGGGGUCAACAUAGUUGACUCAUACGUCAACCUCAUGAUCUUAUUACCACAAAAUUUGAUGCUUGAAAGGUGAGAGUACAUUGGUGUCACCAAGGGCCGUCCAUACACUGGUGUGGUCAGCAAGGGGAAAGUCAAUGAUCUGAAUCUCAAGGGUAAGCCACAUGUGACCACACGUGUCACCAAGGGAGACAAUCAGAGAGAGAAAUACUCAAGGGGGAGGUCAGGCGUGGAAUCAUUUUUCAUAUGAUCCUCUCUCUCUUCACUCUCGCUAACUCUCGUAUCUCUCAUACUCUCUACAUUAGCCCUCACAUAAACAAUUUAAACAACAACAAAAAAGCAACCAGGUGAAUCAUUCACGGUGGUUGUGAUGAACACCACGAUGGUGUUCAUCCACCACAACCCAGAAUUUCGAAAACCCAACCAAAAUAAAAAAGACUUCAAUACAGACCCUAGGUGAAGUUUAUCCCUAAACAUGAUUCUAACAUCUAUUUGGUCAAACAAAUAAACAAAUCCCCAGAUCUAACCAGUUCCCAAUCUGAAAGCCUAAGAAUGGAAACUCCAAAUCAAUUAUGAAAACCAUACAAAUCAUGUAAUUAAGCGCAUAAUAAGUAGAAAGCAAUAACAAAUGUGAGGAACACGCAAAAAUAAGGGAGAUAAAGGCCUUGCCGGAGCUUUGAAAAUCCGGUGAGGUUUCCGGCUAACCUCAACUCUUGCAUGGGAUAUGUGUUAAGUGAUGAUGGUGAUGAUGAAUGGCGUGAAGAUGAUGAAGAGGAAGCCUUGUGUGGUGUGAUGCGCAAAGGUGAUGUUGAUGAGUUAUAUGAGUAAAAAUGUGGGACCACAACCAAUUGGGCUUAGCUUUUUGGUAUUUCAGUUUUUUACUUUUUGUAUUCUAAAAGGUAGGAGAAAGGUAGGUUUUAGAGAAAUCAUCAGACAUACCUAGAAAAUAGGCAAAAAUGAGAGAAAGAGAAAAAGCUAGGAAUUUGAAGAGGGAACUCAUAGAAGAUGUCCAAUUCAACAUCAAUUUAUGGAGAUCUAAGGUAAGGGGGAGAAUAACUUUAAAUAAGAGAUUAUGCCUUAGGGGUAGGGUAGAGGAGUCCUUAACUUCCAAUAAGGAAGAUAAUUUUGAUGAUUUCUAUGUGUGUUCUUGAGGAAUAAUAUCCUCCUGAUUAUAUUGGUAUGAAUUCGUAUGAA